CGUUAGUGCACACUGGCCCAAAUUCCAAUUGCUAGUUCUUGCAUUACCUCGCCUGAGGGCUUUCUCUUGCCACUGGAGCCAGCUCUGCUGCCGGAGUCGGCUUUGCCACCCAUGUGGCAGCCCAGAAAUGCUGGGCAACGAACCCCUCUGGGAGCAGCCCUGGAUCAGUGACUGAUGGGUGCUGGUGUAUCUCUCAGUCAGUGAUCAGUCGAGAGGCAGAAGCCAUAUUAAUAUUAGUUCUUUGAACAGACAGGAUUUAACAUAGAAAAUGUUAACUAGGCAUAAAGUUGUUAAGUAGGUAACAAAUAAUGAAAAGAGAACUCUAAGAUAUCAUAAAGAGAGCGAUCGCGGGAAGCCACUCCCACCCCCAGGGCUGGGGCACAAAGGAAAGAGAAUGUAAUUAUUACAACCAGAAGCUUGGAGGAAGGGCUCCAUGGGGCUGGGGCCCAGACCUCUGGGGAGGGGGUGCUGCUCACCUCAUGCUGGUGUUUCUGAUGGGAGUGUGAUGAGGCCGGUUCUGUGAAGGUUGGAAAACUGCAAACCGGAUUCAGCUGUAGACACGGACAGGUGCUGCUGGUGCGAGGGUGAAGAAAUACUCCUGGGGGGAUGCUGACAGAAGCAGGAAGCUGACAAGAGGGAACAAGGAAGAACAGAAAGGAGUUGAAGUUCCUUCCCCCUCCUCCAGCCUUGGAGUCUCCCUCUAUCGCCCCCUAGGCGGAGUCUAACAGGGAGCCGCUGGCGAAGCCGAACCGUGCGUGGUGGAAUCUCAUUCCCGGAGUGAAAGGUAGAGUACAGAAGGGUUUUUCUGGAUGUAGGACUAUUAUCUUAGACUACUAGACUUCAUUAAGUCAAAGAACCCAGAAUUGUUCAGGGCAGCGAUGUUCACUGCUCCAGGCACAAAAUCAUGACAAUCUUGUUCCCACUUUCCCAGCUUCCCCUGCACCUAGGGAUGGACCUGUGAUCCAGUUUGGGACAUUUAAAUAUAAGGGGAAGUCUACUGGGGACUCCUGAGAAAGUUUUUGCAUUCCUGAUGAAAAGGACAGAUACUGCUGACGCCAGCAAUCACCUACCGCAGCCCUUCUGUUAAGUGAAUCUGACUCCUACUUAUGAAGCAAGGGUCGAUGGGUUUUCUGCUGCUGGGAGUCAAAAGCAACCCUAGCUAUGGUAGACUCUGUGAUGUGCCGCUCCGAUACCCCUUGAGGACUCCCAGCUAUUGGGAGUGCUACAGGCUGCCGCUAUCUCCAGGAAUUGUACUCCGUUGAAGUCAGCUGCCUUGCCCAAUUUCAUGCCCCCUUGGGGGAGGGGGGCAGCCCACAUCUAACAUCUGGGGAGUCUAAAGGCCCAGGCUUCUUUCUUCAGUUCAAGACGUUCCAGGGCCCUCUAAACAAAGUUGGAGCCCUUGUUGCUCUUGCGCCAUUGCCUAGCUUGCCCUCCUGUCUAAUCCUACCUACUUCAUUCCCUUCCCGAUACAUGUUGAUCCUGAAAGCACUACCUAGUAAACUUCCUGCAUGCAGAUCUCUGUCUCUGUUUCCUGGGAAACACCACGCACAACACUACUGACACAUUUAUUCACAUGAAAAGAUGUUCAAAAUAUAUUGCUAAAUGACAGAACAACAGGUUAUAAAACUAUGCAUGAUGUCAUCCUGUUUUCUUAUACAGAUUAUACAGCCGCAGAGAAAAAAUAUCUGAAAAACUUUUUAGGAGAUAAUAUAAGAAUGUCUCUAUGAUCUUGUGAUGGUGGAAAAUUUCUUAAAUAAGAGAUAAAAAGUGCAAACCAUAAAGAAA
rnacentral:lncRNA from 1 species